GACGAACGCUGGCGGCGUGCUUAACACAUGCCAGUCGAACGGUGAAGCUCCAGCUUGCUGGAGUGGAUCAGUGGCGAACGGGUGAGUAACACGUGAGCAACCUGCCCCUGACUCUGGAAUAAGCGCUGGAAACGGCGUCUAAUACUGGAUACGAGAAGGGUCCGCAUGGGCACUUUCUGGAAAGUUUUUCGGUUGGGGAUGGGCUCGCGGCCUAUCAGCUUGUUGGUGAGGUAAUGGCUCACCAAGGUGACGACGGGUAGCCGGCCUGAGAGGGCGACCGGCCACACUGGGACUGAGACACGGCCCAGACUCCUACGGGAGGCAGCAGUGGGGAAUAUUGCACAAUGGGCGAAAGCCUGAUGCAGCGACGCCGCGUGAGGGAUGACGGCCUUCGGGUUGUAAACCUCUUUCAGCAGGGAAGAAGCGAAAGUGACGGUACCUGCAGAAGAAGCACCGGCUAACUACGUG
rnacentral:rRNA from 1 species